rnacentral:rRNA from 1 species
CGGAGCUAAUACCGGAUAAUAUUUUGAACCGCAUGGUUCAAAAGUGAAAGACGGUCUUGCUGUCACUUAUAGAUGGAUCCGCGCUGCAUUAGCUAGUUGGUAAGGUAACGGCUUACCAAGGCAACGAUGCAUAGCCGACCUGAGAGGGUGAUCGGCCACACUGGAACUGAGACACGGUCCAGACUCCUACGGGAGGCAGCAGUAGGGAAUCUUCCGCAAUGGGCGAAAGCCUGACGGAGCAACGCCGCGUGAGUGAUGAAGGUCUUCGGAUCGUAAAACUCUGUUAUUAGGGAAGAACAUAUGUGUAAGUAACUGUGCACAUCUUGACGGUACCUAAUCAGAAAGCCACGGCUAACUACGUGCCAGCAGCCGCGGUAAUACGUAGGUGGCAAGCGUUAUCCGGAAUUAUUGGGCGUAAAGCGCGCGUAGGCGGUUUUUUAAGUCUGAUGUGAAAGCCCACGGCUCAACCGUGGAGGGUCAUUGGAAACUGGAAAACUUGAGUGCAGAAGAGGAAAGUGGAAUUCCAUGUGUAGCGGUGAAAUGCGCAGAGAUAUGGAGGAACACCAGUGGCGAAGGCGACUUUCUGGUCUGUAACUGACGCUGAUGUGCGAAAGCGUGGGGAUCAAACAGGAUUAGAUACCCUGGUAGUCCACGCCGUAAACGA